rnacentral:lncRNA from 1 species
UUGAUACAAGAUUUGUUAUAAUUAUACCCCCGCUUUAAAAAAGGGGGGGUAUACUGUUUUACCUCUGUCUGUCAGUCCGUCCGUCCGUCCGUCCAUCAGUCCGUCAGUCCGUCAGUCCGUCAGUCAGUCCGUCCCAUGAAACUUUCGUCACAUUUUUCUCGGGAACUACACAUCCACCCUUUCUGUAAUUUGGUAUCAACAUUUAUAUAUGUCAGCCAUACCGUGUGAUGCGUUUUCAGAUUCAUCACUUGACAACUUCCUGUUUACCGAACACUUGUCUGAUUUUACACAUGAUAGCCAAGUUGAAAAUUUUCGUCACAUUUUUCUCAGGAACUACAAUACAAGGAUUUCUGAAAUUUGGUUUUCAGGAUUUAUAUAAGUCAGCUAUACCGUGUGAUGCGUUUUCAGAUUCAUCACUCGACAACUUCCUGUUUACCGAACACUUGUAUGAUUUUACACAUGAUAGCCAAGUUGAAAAUUUUCGUCACAUUUUUCUCAGGAACUACAAUACAAGGAUUUCUGAAAUUUGGUUUCAGGAUUUUAUAAGUCAGCUAUACCGUGUGAUGCGUUUUCAGAUUCAUCACUCGACAACUUCCUGUUUACCGAACACUUGUAUGAUUUUACACAUGAUAACCAAGUAAAAAAUUUUCGUCACAUUUUUCUCAGGAACUACAAUACAAGGAUUUCUGAAAUUUGGUUUCAGGAUUUUUAUAAGUCAGCUAUACCGUGUGAUGCAUUUUCAGAUUCAUCACUCGACAACUUCCUGUUUACCGAACACUUGCAUAUUUUUACACUAUUAAUAUUAUCCACUUGCGGCGGGGGUAUCAUCAGUGAGCAGUAGCUCGCAGUUUCACUUGUUUUUUUUUACAGUUGUUUGUACUUGUUUAUAUAUGCUGUUGUCCAUUUUUGC